rnacentral:tRNA from 1 species
ACCUGGCUGGCUCAGUGGUAGAGCAUGUGACUCUUGAUCUCAAGGUCUUGAGUUCAAUCCCCAGGUUGGGCC